GAUGAACGCUAGCGGCAGGCCUAACACAUGCAAGUCGAGGGGCAGCACAGGAAAGUAGUAAUACUUUUGGGUGGCGACCGGCGGACGGGUGCGUAACGCGUAUACAACCUGCCUUCUACUGGGGGAUAAUUCGGAGAAAUCUGGUCUAAUACCCCAUAACAACCGAUGAGGCAUCUCAUUGGUUUAAAAGCUCCGGCGGUAGAAGAUGGGUAUGCGUGACAUUAGAUAAUUGGUGGGGUAACGGCUCACCAAGUCGACGAUGUCUAGGGGGACUGAGAGGUUAACCCCCCACACUGGUACUGAGACACGGACCAGACUCCUACGGGAGGCAGCAGUGAGGAAUAUUGGUCAAUGGACGCAAGUCUGAACCAGCCAUGCCGCGUGCAGGAAGACGGCUCUAUGAGUUGUAAGCUGCUUUUGUACAGGGAUAAAUCGGGGAACGUGUUCCCCGUUGAAGGUACUGUACGAAUAAGGAUCGGCUAACUCCGUGCCAGCCGCCGCCGUAA
rnacentral:rRNA from 1 species